CACCAACAGAAUUGGCGCUAGAGGAUAUGCCUGUGUCUUUGUAGGACCCUUGUUCUUAAAGGAGUACUCAACGGGACUAUCUCCAGUCAUCUUCUUCGACAUCUUCUUCUUCUUCUUCGACCAGAUCCCAACCUGAUGCCUCCCCAAAAGUUAUCCACCAGGUGAUCUACGGCCACCAUGGCCAAAUCUCAGUAAGAUCCACCGACUCUAUCCUCGUCUCCAGUUGCCAGGCUCCUCCUCCUCCGACAAUGAUAGUCGGCAUGGAGCAGUUUGACCUGCUGGUUCAGUAGGUCAGGGGCCUCAACGAAGUGGUGCAGGCCAUGCAGUAGCAGCAGCAGCUACCGCAGGCAUCUAUGUGGC
rnacentral:lncRNA from 1 species